GAAAGUAAUUAAGGGCAUACGGCGGAUGCCUUGGCUUCUAGAGGCGAUGAAGGACGUGAUAAGCUGCGAAAAGCUGCGGGGAUUGGCACAUACGAUGUGAUCCGCAGAUAUCCGAAUGGGGCAACCCGGCAGGUUGAAGACCUGUCACUCGUAAGAGAGCAAACCCAGGGAACUGAAACAUCUAAGUACCUGGAGGAAGAGAAAACAAUUAGUGAUUCCCAGAGUAGUGGCGAACGAAAUGGGAACAGCCCAAACCGUUUUUGUUUCGGCAAAAGCGGGGUUGUAGGACCACGACAUAGUUUGCAUAUUUAAAUGGAAUAGUCUGGAAAGUCUAACCAUAGAGAGUGAAAGUCUCGUACAUGUACAAAUAUGUUAAACUUAGUGGUAUCCUGAGUAGCGCGGGACAUGUGAAAUCCUGUGUGAAUCAACCAGAACCAUCUGGUAAGGCUAAAUACUCCUAGAAGACCGAUAGCGAACAAGUACUGUGAAGGAAAGGUGAAAAGUACUCUGAAUAAGAGAGUGAAAUAGUUCCUGAAACCGUAUGCCUACAAGCUGUAGGAGCCAUAUUUAUAUGGUGACUGCGUGCCUUUUGCAUAAUGAUCCUACGAGUUACUCCUCACUAGCAAGAUUAAGGUAUUCAGUACCGUAGUCGAAGCGAAAGCAAGUCUGAAUAGGGCGUUUAGUUAGUGGGGGUAGACGCGAAACCUUGUGAUCUACCCAUGAUCAGGUUGAAGCUCUGGUAACACAGAGUGGAGGACCGAACCAGUUGACGUUGAAAAGUCUUUGGAUGAAUUGUGGGUAGGGGUGAAAGGCCAAUCAAACUAGGAGAUAGCUCGUACUCUUCGAAAUGCUUUUAGGAGCAGCGUUGUGUUAAAGUUUAUUAGAGGUAGAGCUACCAAUAGGACUAGGGGGAGUCAAAUCCUACCAAAUCCUGAUGAACUCCGAAUGCUAACAGAUAUACUCUGCAGUGAGGGCAUGGGUGCUAAGGUCCAUGUCCGAGAGGGAAAGAACCCAGAUCAUCAGCUAAGGUCCCCAAGUGUAUGCUAAGUUGACAAAACGCGGUAAAACUGCAUUGACAGCCAGGAUGUUGGCUUGGAAGCAGCCAUUCAUUUAAAGAGUGCGUAACAGCUCACUGGUCGAGCGGUUUUGCAUGGAUAAUAAUCGGGCAUAAGUAUACCACCGAAGCUAUGACUUUGUCUUAUGACAAGGGGUAGGGGAGCAUUCUAUGGGCAUUGAAGGUGCUGGCGUGAGCCGUGCUGGAGCGCAUAGAAACGAAAAUGUAGGCAUAAGUAACGAUAAUGCGGGCGAGAAACCCGCACGCCGAAAGACCAAGGUUUCCCCAGCUAUGCUAAUCAGCUGGGGGUCAGUCGGGACCUAACGCGAACCCGAACGGGGUAGUGGAUGGACAAUCAGUUAAUAUUCUGAUACCUGCUCACAUUAAAAGUGACGGGGAUGAGGCGUUGGUGCGAAGAGACGGAAUUCUUCGUUGAAGGUAGCGGAAGCUACUGAUAGUACACUGAGGCUUCGGCCAAGGUGAUAAUCCAGCUUAUCAUCCUCCAAGAAAAACAAGUGAAGCAGCCCGUACCGUAAACCGACACAGGUGGUUGGGAUGAGUAUUCUAAGGCGCUCGAGAGAUUCAUGGCUAAGGAACUAGGCAAAAUAGACCCGUAACUUCGGGAGAAGGGUCGCCCCCUUAUGGGGGGCCGCAGUGAAGAGGUCCAGGCGACUGUUUAUCAAAAACACAGGGCUCUGCUAAAUCGAAAGAUGACGUAUAGGGCCUGACACCUGCCCGGUGCUGGAAGGUUAAGAGGAGAUGUUAUUUUUCGGAAGAAGCAUUGAAUUGAAGCCCCAGUAAACGGCGGCCGUAACUAUAACGGUCCUAAGGUAGCGAAAUUCCUUGUCGGGUAAGUUCC
rnacentral:rRNA from 1 species